rnacentral:rRNA from 1 species
ACUCCUACGGGAGGCAGCAGUGGGGAAUAUUGCACAAUGGGCGCAAGCCUGAUGCAGCCAUGCCGCGUGUGUGAAGAAGGCCUCGGUUGUAAAGCACUUCAGUUGUGAGGAAGGUGGUGUCGUUAAUAGCGGCAUCAUUUGUACGUUAGCAACAGAAGAAGCACCGGCUAACUCCGUGCCAGCAGCCGCGGUAAUACGUAGGGGGCGAAGCGUUAUCCGGAAUCACUGGGCGUAAAGGGUGCGUAGGCGGUUUUCAAGUCAGAAGUGAAAGGCUAUGGCUCAACCAUAGUAAGCUUUUGAAACUGUUAAACUUGAGUGCAGGAGAGGAAAGUGGAAUUCCUAGUGUAGAGGUGAAAUUCGUAGAUAUUAGGAGGAACACCAGUGGCGAAGGCGACUUUCUGGACUGUAACUGACGCUGAGGCACGAAAGCGUGGGGAGCGAACAGGAUUAGAUACCCUGGUAGCACAGCG